rnacentral:lncRNA from 1 species
GCUCAUUAAUGCUUAGAGUGAAAUCCAUGUGGUAUGGUGAAAAUGAUAAGGUGAGUGUGGUAAAAAAAGAAAAGAAAAAGGAUACACGGACAACUUGGUUCGAAACUAGCACAGCUACCGUUCCCCGGCAACGGCGCCAGAAAGCUUGUUGGGUAUUUUAAACGCAAACAGAAAAAUCCGCAAGCGCACGGAUACCGAUGUAGCUUUCACCUGGGAGUAUUCCAGAGUAUCGAUUUUCCACAGAGAACGUGAGUGUACUAAUUAAGAAUCAAGAUCACCCAAGGAUAACUAUAUAAUUAUUUUUGGUGGUA